rnacentral:rRNA from 1 species
CCUACGGGUGGCUGCAGUGGGGGAUAUUGCACAAUGGGGGAAACCCUGAUGCAGCGACGCCGCGUGUGGGAAGACGGUCCUCUGGAUUGUAAACCACUGUCCCCAGGGACGAAAAUGACGGUACCUGGGGAGGAAGCUCCGGCUAACUACGUGCCAGCAGCCGCGGUAAUACGUAGGGAGCGAGCGUUGUCCGGAAUUACUGGGUGUAAAGGGAGCGUAGGCGGGGAUGCAAGUUGGGUGUCAAAACUACCGGCUCAACUGGUAGUCGCACUCAAAACUGCAGCUCUUGAGUGAAGUAGAGGCAGGCGGAAUUCCUAGUGUAGCGGUGAAAUGCGUAGAUAUCAGGAGGAACACCGGCGGCGAAGGCGGCCUGCUGGACCGCGACUGACGUUGAGGCUCGAAAGCGUGGGGAGCGAACAGGAUUAGAUACCCGUGUAGUC